CAGCCGUAAACUAUGCUCGCUAGGUGUCAGGGACGGUGCGACCGUUUCUGGUGCCGCAGGGAAGCCGUGAAGCGAGCCACCUGGGAAGUACGGUCGCAAGGCUGAAACUUAAAGGAAUUGGCGGGGGGAGCACUACAACGGGUGGAGCCUGCGGUUUAAUUGGACUCAACGCCGGAAAACUCACCGGGGGCGACAGCUGAAUGAUUGUCAAUCUGAAGGUUUUACAUGACUAGCUGAGAGGUGGUGCAUGGCGUCAGUGACU
rnacentral:rRNA from 1 species